rnacentral:tRNA from 1 species
CCCUAGUAGCUUAGCCUAAAAGC